rnacentral:rRNA from 1 species
UGGGGAAUAUUGCACAAUGGGCGCAAGCCUGAUGCAGCCAUGCCGCGUGUAUGAAGAAGGCCUUCGGGUUGUAAAGUACUUUCAGCGGGGAGGAAGGGAGUAAAGUUAAUACCUUUGCUCAUUGACGUUACCCGCAGAAGAAGCACCGGCUAACUCCGUGCCAGCAGCCGCGGUAAUACGGAGGGUGCAAGCGUUAAUCGGAAUUACUGGGCGUAAAGCGCACGCAGGCGGUUUGUUAAGUCAGAUGUGAAAUCCCCGGGCUCAACCUGGUAACUGCAUCUGAUACUGGCAAGCUUGAGUCUCGUAGAGGGGGGUAGAAUUCCAGGUGUAGCGGUGAAAUACGUAGAGAACUGGAGGAAUACCGGUGGCGAAGGCGGCCCCCUGGACGAAAACUGACGCUCAGGUGCGAAAGCGUGGGGAGCAAACAGG